rnacentral:rRNA from 1 species
GACGAACGCUGGCGGCGUGCUUAACACAUGCAAGUCGAACGGAAAGGCCCUGCUUUUGUGGGGUGCUCGAGUUGCGAACGGGUGAGUAACAAGUGAGUAACCUGCCCUCGACUUUGGGAUAACUUCAGGAAACUAGGGCUAAUACCGGAUAGGAACUCCUGCUGCCUGGUGGGGGUUGGAAAGUUUGGGCGGUUGGGGAUGGACUCGCGGCUUAUCUGCUUGUUGGUGGGGUAGUGGCUUACCAAGGCUUUGACGGGUCGCCGGCCCGGGGGGGUGACCGGGGACAUGGGGACUGAGAGACGGCGCAGACUCCUACGGGAGGCAGCAGUGGGGAAUAUUGCAGAAUGGGCGGAAGCCUGAUGCAGCAACGCCGCGUGCGGGAUGACGGCCUUCGGGUUGUAAACCGCUUUCGCCUGUGACUAAGCGUGAGUGACGGUAAUGGGUAAAGAAGCACCGGCUAACUACGUG